GGUCAUAUGUUGGAAGUAGAUAUGAAUUAAGACUGUCAUGGGUUGGCUUGUAGAGGUCUAAGGUGUUGGACAAAGGGCUACAACACUCAUGAGUGCUCAUAAGUUCUGAGUAUUGGAUUCAACCCACGCUCAUUGGAAUCACUUCAUGGAUUUUAUCACGAGUGAUCAUGAGACGAUAAUAUCGUAUAUUCUUCAAACCUAGAGAUAUGAGUUGUUACUAUGAGUUGGUUAUACAUUGAUUUCACGAAACCACAUUGGUAACUCGAUGUUAUAAAACGUGCAUUUGUGUAUGAUUCAACAAGUAGUAGAACAAGCCAUAUGAGUCGAAGUUUAUCCAUUCCUUUUACCUUCGGGAUAAAAGCGAUAUCUAUGGGCCCCUCGAUGAUUUAAUGAUGAUACAUGUGAGUGCUUGGCCAAGCCAGGACUGGAUCUGUUCAAUCGGUCAGUCAUCAUGAAUCGGAAAUCGGGAAACAACAAAUAGACAGAGAAAAUGAUUUUAAUCCAUGUCUCAGUCCAUAUGAUAUCUAGAAUGGAGGAAUAUAUAAUCCCUUAUCUAAUGGACAAGUCAUUGACAAAGGUCAGAGUUCAUCUACAAGAUCAGAGUUCGACAACGGCUUUUGACAGCUACGAUUGCCAGUUGGUUCUUGAAGUCAUACGCAAUAAUAGUUUUAGACUUAUCCAAGUGGGAGUCUGUUGGAUUAGUGUCUAAGUCCAUAACUAUAUUUGGUAUGUACUUGACCCGACUCGGCAUGGUCCAUUUGGGUUGCGUGGCAUUAGAAUAUUUGGAUAUACCGUUUGUGAGAAGAGGACAUUUGUGACAUAUUAAUAUAUUAUAAGUUCUAAUAUAUUAAUAUGAAAUCAUGUUAUUUAAUUAGUAUUAAUCAAGAAUAAAUUUGGACUUAAAUUUAGUGAUCAAAAAGAGAAUACUCAAAUAUAUGGGGAUUGAUUAUGUAAAUCAUUCAUUCUUAUAUAUGUAGGCUUAUGAUCCAAGAUUCCUUAUAUUGGGUUUAACCCAUGUGGUGACACAUGGAUACUCCAUGGAGGUUAAACCCCAUGGAGCAUAAGGAAUGGGUAAAGCCAUGAGUUACAUGGUGUAACCCUAAUAGCCACACUAUAUAAAGACCCCAUUAGUUGGUGAAAUUUGCGCUAGUAUAUACACAAGAGGGCAAGCCGAUUUCUAGAGUUCAGGUGUCUUCUUCUCAUUGUUAUUACAUGUGUUGGUGAUGUUGUGUGAACCAUUUGAGGUGUCACACUUGGGGAACUAGGCUCUCGAGCUUCAUGGAGUCAAGCUACAUCAACAAGGUAUGUAUUCGAUCCAUUUUAUUACCCAAGUAUGAAAAGAUUGUAUGCUAGUUAGGGUAAUACUUUGGAAUAUUCAUAUUUUCAUGUAUAAUAGAGAAAACAUAGAUCCAAGGUAUUUAGGGUUGCAUGUACACUUAGGAGUGUUAGAAUGCUCAAAACCCAACAUGUAACUAAUUGAGUUCCUCAAUGUCCAGAAGACCGAAAACCCAUGCAGACCAAAAACUCUAAUUCUUCACCGAAAUCACCCCCGAAUCUCAAAAACAGGUAAACCCUACUUGGCUUGUCAAGUGGACUCAUGGACUCGACGAGUUCCUUCAGUCUUUUGUGUUCAAUCCUUUGCCAAAGGGGUCCAGGGUCCCAAACUUCAGAUCCAACCUCUCCCAGUGCAGAUACCACGUAAAGUUGCAAACUUUACGUGCUUGCAAGGCCUCCUAAGGCUAUAACAUCAAGACUAAGCUUCCUAAAAGGUUUUUGUGCAUGGAGAGAGGCUAAGCUACAUAAAGUGAGCAACUUUAUGUCAUUGGGAACCUAGAGAGGUCCAGAUCUGGAACUAUAGCCUUGUGAUAAGUCCAUAUCCGAGUUCACACCAUUUUGCACCAAAAAUGGCCAUUUACUUUCCAAGAAAAGGGAUCUAAGCAACUAGAGAUCAAGGUAACGACUUUAUACCUCAAAAUGAUGGCCAAUACAGAGUAGAUGUCAGAUCUACUAUUUCUCUCCUUGCUCCUUCCUCUUCUAGCUCUAAAAUCCUUCACAAGGGUACAUGUUUCACUCUCUAAGGCUCACACACACUCAAGGAAGCUCAACUAUGCGGCUAGGGUUUCUUUUUGGAUUGCAGGGACGAUGGGGGAGGCUACAAAUGAGCCAUAAAUCCUUUAAAUUGGGUGCAAACCCCUAAAAAUUAGGGUUGCACUCUACAAAACCUACUCGUCGAGUCGGGGCCUUUCGACUCGUUCGAUCGGUAAUGAAGGGAAGCGGAUCGUAUCCGCCUAUGUCGCCGCUAUCUUCGGCCGAUAACGUCGUCGUCGCCGCUAUUUUGUGUUGCUAAUCGCUCCACUGCCACGACACCUAGUCUAGUCGAGUUGCACCAAAUCCGUUUUGUGGAAAUCGUGUCGCGACUAUGGGCUCGUGCCGCGAAUUGCACCGGAAUAUCUGGAAGGCUCAGAAAACAGAUUUCUUGGAAAGCAAGGCGUCGUCCUAAAGUUUUUAGGGGCCGAACUAUAAGGGUUUUUUACUGCCUUCUAGGGUUUCGACACCUAUAAAUACAGCUCCCUAGGAGCCAUAUUCCACACUCGAAAAUUCAUAGCUCUCGGUCUCUCUCUCUCUCUCUCUCUCACUAUUUCUCUCUCUGGGAGUUCUUCCUGGUUUCUGAGUACUCACUUUGUGUUUAUCGUUUUCCAUUGCUGUUGGAAAACCGAUAAAUCUACAUAAAAUCUCGAGGUUUUACUUUGUUGCUUACAGCUAAUAGAAGCGAAGUAAAAUCCUUUAAGGACAGUAGUCUGAUCUGUGUAAUUUUUUUUCUUAUGAUCAAGAUCAAUCGUCAUUAGGUCGGUUUACCUUUAUUGUCUCGCAUUUAUAUUCGUCCAAUAACAAGACAGUCUGCUUCUACUUCUUUCUUAUAGUUAGAUCUGAUCGUGAAUGAUCAAUCUGUUUUCUAGACGAAACUUGAUAACAAUAUUGGAUUUGUUAUCUUGGAACAUAUCAAUGUUUAAUCAUCUGUAUUAAUUGUUGGUUGUUUGUGAAAACGUUAGAUUAUUUAAUCAUAAAUAUUAUUUGUCCAUUCGUUUAUUUAUCUAUUCUAAAUAAUUCGUCCUUAGUACAUAAUAUUAAUUAUUAUAUUGUUUAAAUAUCAAGUCUGAAUUUCAACAAGAAAAAGAGGGGAUGGGUUGUUGUAAUGAUUUGUUUAUUCUCUAGCCAUGCACUAUGUCUCUUUUCUUGAUCAAGCUCUUAAAUACAAGCCGAUCUUGUACAAGUCUCUUUUUCCUCACCUCAAGUAGACAUAUUUUUAGUAAUACACUAGGUACAUGUCAAAUGUCAAGGUUGCAUGAUUUAUUUCAUGAUCUAAGCCUUCAUGUUUCACUCACAUGCUAUCUUUUAUAAAGUGCAUAUAUAUUUUUUAAGUCGAGUUUUAAGUGAUUUAUUUCAUCACCCAAAGCUUUUAUUUAUAACUUAAUGAAAUGUUUGUUUUUCAUAAAAUAUGUUGUUUAAAAAAAAACUCAUCUUAACCCAUCCCACAUAAAUGAAAUGUUGAACUUAUAGUGUGACAAAAAUGAUUUAGCUAUGAUGUGAAUAACAAAAAUGUGAAGUGACGUGACAUGACAUGCUGGCAACCAUGACACCAUUCAUUGCCUUAGGGUUAUGGGUGUUGGAUGAAACACCGUAGAGGAGGCUAAGUUGGCCUUCCUCCACACCGUUGAGGUAAUGGGAACAUCGCCUUUGCUAUACCGUACGUGUCGUGGCUGAAUGUGGAGGUUUCAACGUCACUCAACGCAAGGAAAAAAGGAAACGAUCAUAUGACCGCUGGGUUAAACCGUAGGAUUUAAAAAAACUACCCAUAAAUACAUAUCACCUCACUCAUUUUUAAAUCAUUCUUUUCUUUCUCUCUAUUUUAUAUAAUUACAUGGUCUCAAAAAUCAAAAUUUGAUCAAAACCUAAACAACCCUCCACCAAACCCAAACUCACAUCCAAACACAACCUCUUUUAUGAGAUUCGCUCAAUUCAAGAGUUAUAUUAACCUAUUAAACACCUAAAUGUCAUCGCAAAUACCAUACCAACAAACUUAUUUCUCUUCCACCUCACUUCUAAUACAAUUUCUUCCAACAAAAACUUAUACCAAACUUCCAAAAACUAAUAACCAUUCAACCAACUACUACCCAACAACCACCAGCCACACAACCAUCAGGAUAAUUUGUUACUAGAUAAUGGGAAAACAAAAGCGAAAGGGAAAGAUAAUGGGAAAACAAAAGCGAAAGGGAAAACCAAAGUCAAUCAGGAUAGUCCACAAUGGUGGACAUCAAAUGAGAAUUUGUGGUAACGGAAGUAUAUUGUGGGACAUAAAAAAAUAACAUUCAAAGAAAUAGUAGGAAGAAAAAAGCUUUUUGGGAAGCGGCCCUUCACAAAUUCCAUGGUUUGUUGAAAAUUUUUCAUACAGCAAUAAUGCUCUAAGACAUUUUAUGUAAUUAAUCCUAAAAAAUAUGACAACAUGUCAUUAUGUACGCUAAAAUAAUUACAAAAAAAAAUAUUUUAAAAACUAAUAAAACUUAUGUAAUGAUAGAAACAUAGUGUUGUAGGUGGUUUAAAAGAUUGGACUCUUUUGAAUGUAUAGAACAUGCGAUAAAUUAACAUGUUGAAAUGUUGAAAAGGCAACAAAAAGACGUUGAUACAUUUAAUAAAAUAAUAUUAUUAAUUUUACUAUUAAUAUUAUUAAUUUUACUAUUCAUUGUUUUGUGAUAAAUGUUAGUAAAGUAAAUGUUUUGUAAAGCCAUUACUCCUAUAGUGUUAUGCUACACCACUUUUUUUAUUGGAAAUUUAAAGGAACAUAGUUUCACAACCCAAAGUUUAUCCCGUUACAUUACUAUGUUGCCGUUAACGGAAUACUCCAUUUUAUAAAAAUUCCGUAAAUUAGAGGUCGCCAAAUAAAUAAAUAUUUUAUUUAUUUAUAUUUUAUGUCGUUAUAGUCGUAAUAAAAUAGAUGAAAACACUUAAAUUACAUUUCCAUGUCAAUUUGGGAAAAAAGUUAAAUUUUGUUACGACCACUAAAUCGGGUGCGACCAAAAGCCCCGUUAAACGACAGUAUCGGGUAGAUUUCCACUGAGCUUCAACUCAAACCCCUAUAUAAGGGGGAGUAACCCCCAUUUCAACCUUUUCGCUCUCUCUCUCUAUACUCUCUCUCAUAAAAUCCCGUUUUCGACUCAAAACCGCGAAUUUCCGCCUCCAAAUUGUAAGGUCUUCAACCCUAACUUGUUCUAAACAUGCAUUAUUGUUUUUAUAGCUCAAAAAUCACAUGAUUGAGACAAGAAAAAGGAGUUUACGGCCUAAGAGCCUCCUUAGGCCGUAAACACCCCAAAAGUGGCCAAAAGUCCCGAUUCUUCCUUAAUUGAGCUUGGAUACUAGCUAGGGAAUUUAUCUUGGAGUGUUUAAACAUCAAAACACAAGAUUUUAGGGCAUAAAAGAGAGUUUACGGCCCAAGCACAUGCUUAGGCCGUGAACACCUCUUAUACUUGCAAAAAUGCCCCAAAAACACUCCCAAACCACCCCUAUGCUUAAGACAUAAAUUAGGGACUUGCUAAUUCGGGUUUGGAACAUUCAAACACAAAAGAAUGUUGAGUAAAUUGGAGUUUACGGCCCAAGCAAGUGCUUAGGCCGUAAACACCCCCAAACCUUAUCAAAAGAUAGUUUUUGUCCCCCAAAUUGCCCUAGACUUUUAUUACAAAUUACUAUAAGUGAAAUAAGGACCUUAAACUUCCAUAAAAUCAAGGGAUAGGAGUUCACGGCCGUGAACUCCCAUAGGGGUGGUUCAUGGGCCGUAAACUCCCAUAUAGUCCCUAUAAACACCUUAAACCCACUCAUACAAGUUAGAUUUGGACCUAGCAAAAUUCCACGAUCAAGAUAAAGCCUUAAAACAUCCUAGAAACCCCUCACCAUGAGUUUACGACCGUAAACUCAUGGGGAGUUGUCCCUGGGCCGUAAACACCAUAUGGAGAGUUUACUCUUGGAGAGUAAACUCCAUUCCUAAGUCAUUCACACCUUUAAAUGUUACCCGGGACACCCCAAACACUUAACCAAAGUGUUUUCCGCUCUUUAGGGUGCGUAUACUUGUUUGAUUAGUAUUAAAUGUACUAAUUGUAUGUGAACAUAUGUUAUCAUAUGUUAAAUAGGUCACUAAGUGUGUCCAAGUCCUUACUUGACACCGAGCACCCAAUCGGCACCUUCGUCAUAUCCACUUACACCAGGUGAGUUCAUACCCCUGAAUGAACCUUUUAAAUGUUUUUACAUGUUUUAUAGGGGGGAAUACAAGUUAAACAUGUCAGUUAUCAUAUCAAUCACAUGUGAUUGAUAACCCGCAUGCACAAUGAUUUACCAAACUGUAAACUGUUUUACCAAGUAGGAUCAUAUAAAAGGUUUUCCAAAAGGUUUUCACUUGUUCAAAACUCUUACUUAUACUGUUUUAUCAAAGUUCAUUUUAAACUGGUUUAAGAAAAGUUUCCAAAGGAUUCUAAAGGUUUUCAAACUUAUUUUACAAAAGAAUACCCUGUCGUGAUUUUCUCAAGAAUAAAGGCUUUUCUUCCAUGUUUUGAUACUCCCUCUUAGUGUAAACUCCUACUUAUUAACACUUUCACUUCGUGAUGCAUUUAUAUCUGUUAUCGCCUCUAUUUUGCUUAUACUUGUAGUCGCUUAUGCCUGUUAGACACUCUUACUUCACUUGUUGUCACUUCUACUUCGUUAUUCCACACUGUACGGUUAUACAUCACGAUUCGGUUAUUCCACACUGUACGCUUAUACUUCACGAUACGGUUAUUCCACACUGUACGCUUAUACUUCACAAUUCGGUUAUUCCACACUGUACACUUAUACUUCACGAUUUGGUUAUUCCACAUGAUUUGAUU
rnacentral:lncRNA from 1 species